rnacentral:rRNA from 1 species
UACGUAGGGUGCAAGCGUUGUCCGGAAUUAUUGGGCGUAAAGAGCUCGUAGGCGGUCUGUCGCGUCGGCUGUGAAAACUCGGGGCUCAACCCCGAGCCUGCAGUCGAUACGGGCAGACUAGAGUGCUGUAGGGGAGACUGGAAUUCCUGGUGUAGCGGUGAAAUGCGCAGAUAUCUGGAGGAACACCGGUGGCGAAGGCGGCAUUCUGGACCGAAACUGACGCUGAGGCGCGAAAGCCAGGGGAGCAAACGGG